UACGAGAGGCGCAAACGUUAUUCGGAAUUACUGGGCUUAAAGAGUUCGUAGGCGGCGCAGAAAGUAGGGUGUGAAAUCCCUCGGCUCAACCGAGGAACGUCGAUCGAUACUGCUGUUCUUGAGGAUUGCAGAGGAGACUGGAAUUCCCGGUGUAGCGGUGAAAUGUGUAGAGAUCGGGAGGAACACCGGUGGCGAAGGCGGGUCUCUGGGCAAUUCCUGACGCUGAGGCGCGAAAGCGUGGGGAGCAAACGGG
rnacentral:rRNA from 1 species